UACGUAGGGUGCAAGCGUUAAUCGGAAUUACUGGGCGUAAAGCGUGCGCAGGCGGCUUUGCAAGACAGAUGUGAAAUCCCCGGGCUUAACCUGGGAACUGCAUUUGUGACUGCAUGGCUGGAGUGCGGCAGAGGGGGAUGGAAUUCCGCGUGUAGCAGUGAAAUGCGUAGAUAUGCGGAGGAACACCGAUGGCGAAGGCAGCCCCCUGGGCCUGCACUGACGCUCAUGCACGAAAGCGUGGGGAGCAAACAGG
rnacentral:rRNA from 1 species